AUACGGAGGAUGCGAGCGUUAUCCGGAUUUAUUAGGUUUAAAGGGUGUGUAGGCGGUAUUUUAAGUCAGUGGUGAAAUCUCGGAGCUUAACUUCGAAACUGCCAUUGAUACUGGAAUACUUGAGUAUAGUUGAGGUAGGCGGAAUAUGUAAUGUAGCGGUGAAAUGCAUAGAUAUUACAUAGAACACCGAUUGCGAAGGCAGCUUACUAAACUAUUACUGACGCUGAUGCACGAAAGCGUGGGGAGCGAACAGGAUUAGAAACCCCGGUAGUCC
rnacentral:rRNA from 1 species